GAUGAACGCUGGCGGCGUGCCUAAUACAUGCCAGUCGAGCGAACGGACGAGAAGCAUGCUUCUCUGAUGUUAGCGGCGGACGGGUGAGUAACACGUGGAUAACCUACCUAUAAGACUGGGAUAACUUCGGGAAACCGGAGCUAAUACCGGAUAAUAUUUUGAACCGCAUGGUUCAAAAGUGAAAGACGGUCUUGCUGUCACUUAUAGAUGGAUCCGCGCUGCAUUAGCUAGUUGGUAAGUUAACGGCUUACCACGGCAACGAUGCAUAGCCGACCUGAGAGGGUGAUCGGCCACACUGGAACUGAGACACGGUCCAGACUCCUACGGGAGGCAGCAGUAGGGAAUCUUCCGCAAUGGGCGAAAGCCUGACGGAGCAACGCCGCGUGAGUGAUGAAGGUCUUCGGAUCGUAAAACUCUGUUAUUAGGGAAGAACAUAUGUGUAAGUAACUGUGCACAUCUUGACGGUACCUAAUCAGAAAGCCACGGCUAACUACGUG
rnacentral:rRNA from 1 species